GCAAUGUUUUCUGGCAGAAAAACUAAGUAUAUUUAUAAGUAAAAUACGGAAAAAAUGGAAUUUUAUUUUUACAAAAUUUACUUCUGCAUACUAUCUUAUGAACAUAAAAAAGCUUCUGUCCAAGUUUGGUAGAAAUCCAGUUUAGUUUAAGAAAGUUAUUGAAAUUUCAAAAACUUUAACCACAGAGUGAGUAUUUGUGGACGCCGCCGACGACACCGACGCAGACGCAGACGGAAUGUAGGAUCGCUAUGACUCGCUUUUUCGACUAAAGUCGAAGGCUCGACAUAAAUGGCCUAAAGUAAAACUAUGGUUCUAGUAUUACAGAAUACAGAAACGAAAACCCCCACUUUGAGACAAUUAUACUAGUUGUCUAAAGCAACGACGUUGCGCACGAUAUUGGUGUCACUUUGGAAAUAUGGGUUAGAUGGCGGUUAUUAAAAUUCAAGCUCUUAUCCUUUACAAUAAAUAGCCAUGUUAUGCAUAUCAUUCGAAAGGAAAUAAACCAUAGAAAUCAAUGAAAUAGAUGAAUUUGUGCUUUGUCUAUUUUCUAAUGAAAAAAAAAAUGCUCAUUUCGAUGCCUAUAACGUCAUUUUAAGGGUGUCCCGCUGUUACAAUUUUGUUUUAUGCGCGUCUUUGAAAUCCAAGCGCGGAUUCAUUAGUAAGUAGAAUGGUUUAAAAUUUUACAACUAUAUUGUAUACAUUUAACCUUAAAUGAAGUAAUAGACGUUUUUAACUAUAAGAGGAGGAAGAUCGUCAGAAAAAAUAAAUAAAAAAGAGAAAAAAUGUCCCAAUUUGCUGCUCAACCCGUAAAAAAACUUUGGUAUUAAAAGAUUCGAAGCUUUACACAUGAAUGAAAAUUCUCACAAUAAAUCUUUUGAGAAAAAGUACUCCUUAGUCGUGAAAAUUUCAGUAAAAUGUGCAAUCAUUUUUUUUUUUGUGUCACAUCGACUCAUUUAACAAAAAGUUUUAUCAGAGAAAUACUCGUAUGUCAUAAAAUUUCAGUAUAGCUAACGAUUAUUUUUUUUAUUACUACUGUGAGUACAUCUACAAAUGUACCUAGCAAUAUGUGUAUGAAAAAAAGGGUAAUUACAUUUAGUAGUAGUGUGACAGAAUGAAGUUUAACCAUAAUUUCGUUUUUGACUGGUAACCGAUCGUAUAAAUACGCGGAUAUAUAUCAUCGAGUACAAAAUAACAUAAUAAUUAUCUUAUCGCUUGUUAUAAAUUCAUAUCUGCAAUGAAUACUAAUAAGAACGGAAAUUAAUAAUACAAACAUAUUGUGUCGUUAGAAAUAUUUAUAUGCAUUAAAAUCUAUGCACACGUACAAAAGAAAUGUGUUAACGCAUGCGGAAGAAUAUCACAAGAAAGUUUUGUUGGAAAUUAUGAAUGUCUUCUCAAAUCCAAUAUAUUGGAAAAAUCGAAUUGUGAUAGAAGAGUGUCCACCAUGCAUGUGUACUGCACUUUUAUUAGAAUCGUAGAAUAGAAUGUUAUACCAUGAAAAUUAUACAUACAUGUAACUGCUAUAUACAAAUAUUAAUAUAAUAUAAAUAUAAACAACACAUCAGAUUAUACUGAUUUGUAUCACCACAAUGUAAUAGAUAUUAAAGCAGUGAGGUUGAAUUCCCUGUCAUUAAUUUUAUUCAUCAUCCACGCACGAACUUGUCUUAUAAAAACAUAUAUAUCUGUACAUAAAUCUCAGUUUCAGGUAUAGAAAUGUGAUUUUUUUCUGAGACAACUGCUUGUGACCAUCAACAAGAACUUGCGGUCAUCCGAUGUUCAGUACUUCAGUACGUUGAUACUACUUGUAAAACAAUGUAAAUACGAAUAUAGAAACCAAAGAGAUUGAAACCGAAAACAUAAAAAAUAAUCAGUUCGGAAACGUUUUUUUUUUUUUAAGUCAAAGAAGAUUUAGUGUAAACCGAUAUACUCUGUUAUAUGUUGAAAAUGGAAGCGCUAGCUGAACCAAAAAUAACCAAUAGUAUAUAAAAAGUGCAUGGAAUGUAUUCUUGGUCCAUAGUUGUUAGCUUGAGAAAAAACCUUGAUCCAUGUAAACAUGCACAUAUAGCAAUUACUUAAAAAUACACAUCUAGUAAAAUGAAAAUAAUUGUAUAAAAUCGUGGUUGAUAUUAAGAUUGUGGUCUUACUUAUACGUUAAAAUGAAUAAUAUGCAUUAUAAUGUAAGUAUAAGUCACUGUUUUUAAAAGGUUAUAAGCAAAGACAGCCAAUGUGAUAUGUUGUAAGCACGCUCGUCCUAAGAGUAAAGAGAUUCGCCUCAGACUUGUCCUGCAUUUGUUUCACUCAUAGUAUCAAACUAAGUUUUAAUGUUUUAAAACAUUUUGAAGAUACAAAAACGCCAAAAAAUAUGUACAAAACAGACUCUUUCGUUCAUUUCUUUUACAAAAAUUAGGCAGUUAGUUUUCUCGUCUGAACUGUUAUACGUUGUCAUUUCGGGGCCUUUUAUAGCAGACUAUGCGAUAUGGGCUUUGCUUUUGAAGGCCGUACAGUGACCUAUAGUUAUUAAUUUCUGUGUCAUUUUGGUCUCUUGUAGAGAGAUGUCUCAUUGACAAUCAUACCACAUCUUUUUAUAUAUUUCAAUCAUUUAACAAGACAUCAAAUUGUUAUUUUGUGUUAUUCUUGCAUCUAUAAUUCUUCUCAAACAAUUAAAAAAAUUUCAGUUCAAAUUCAAUGGAAUUUUGUAUUUGCACCGGCUUGAAAAAAUAAAACCAUAUAAAGAAGCAACUUCGAAAAUCUCUGUACUUAAAGCGGCAUUUCACAUGAGUAAAAUAUAAGAUCAACGUUUGAAAUUUUCCGUGAAACAACGUCAAAAUCGUUGUUUUAUUAGAAACGUCGUGUAACGCUAAGUGGCACCAAUACCGUGCGUAACGUCCUCGUUAUUUUGUCCCUGGUAGAUUGUUAUUGGUUUUCAUACGUUUUUUUCUUUAUUUAUCUCUAUUAUAAAUAAGUACGUGAGCUUUCAUAAUAUGUUAACAUAUGGUUACUGAAGUUCUUUUGCGUCCUUGUUACAAAAUGUAUAAAGUUUAUUAAUAAACUCAUCAUAGAUAUUCAUUGCGUCCGAAGCAUUUUUCGGGCGGGGAAAACAACAGUAUAUUUCACCUAUUGGUACUUUAGCGGAACUAUUUCCUUGUGCGUGUUUUGUUUUCUAUACAUCAGGUAAGACUUUUCAUUUUUAGAACCUGUCUAUCCCCGCCUUUCCCGCGCAAAAUAUCAUAAUAAAACACAUAAUCAUAGCCAAUAGUUUAUUCUUAACCCAGACUAGAAAACAUGCCUUUAAACAUAGCCACUCACAAACAAAAUAUAUUAAAAGCAAUUUUUUUUACACUUUUUUAUUUUUAUGUUGUUUUAGAAUAUAAAUUUGACUUGAAUUUAUAUGAGUAUAAUACAUAUACAUGUACAUGUAUAUACCAAUCUAAGUUAGUGUAUAUCUUGUUUCUCGUCUUACUUUACAGUAGAGCUACUUUGAUAGAUCAGGUUGACUGAUAAGCUGUCUAUAUAAAGUAAUGGGACAAUGCAUGGAAUGAAGACAUCACCAAGUCACCGUAUGCAACAUUUAAAAAGACAUCCUGAGCUUAUCAUAUAGUCAUCACCUACCCACCAACACGGUGUGAGCUCUGGUUUCCGCGUAUUUAUAGAUUAUAGAUCGGUUACAAGUCCAACACGCAAGUUACGUAAAGGAAAGCUCUCUGACUCGCAACAAUAGACCGGAAUGACUUUACGAUCAUCCGCUGUAAAAGGGACAAAAAAAUACAGAUCCGAGAGUAAUCGCAGUUACUGACAGCUAGUUCAAAGCCAAUAAAAACUAAUACAAAAAUCAUGUAUCUAAGACA
rnacentral:lncRNA from 1 species